UACAACCCUAACGCAAGAUGGAGUCGAAAAUUAAUGGCGACAAAAAAUAAUUUUUUUCGCGACAGAAAAGAAAAUCAGGUACAAAACGAAAAAGAAAAUCAGGUACAAAACGGAAUAUAGAAUCAGAGAAACUUACAAUUUAAGUAAAACUAAUUUGAAAAAGAAAAACUUUAGUUAAGCAAACAGAUAAAUAGAGUGAGCCCAACACAGAAAGAGAGUGAGGGACGAGCGAGCGAGCGUGCGAGCGAGAGAGAAAGAAAGACAGAAGAAGAGUGCGUGCAAAAACAUUGAGAAUAAAAACAAAAAAAAAAAAAGAAAAGAAAAGUAAAAAAAGAAGAACAAAAAAUAAUCGACCAAAAAUUGCAACGAAAGAAGGAAGUAAUAUAAAAACAAAAAAAACGUGUGUGAGUGUCACCCAAGAAAGAGAGAGAGAACACAAAAUUAAUCUCUCGAGAGGGGCACCAAAUUGAACCAGCAAAGUGGCGUCCCUACUCAGGAUACGGGCUGGGGCAGCAGCAGCGGCGUCGUCCAUGUUCCACUACAACAAAAAAACCAACCAAACCAACAAUCAGAGCAAUCACACCACAACCAGGAGAGCGCCAGAGCAGCAGCCGCCGCCGGUGUGGUGUCGCCAACUGUGGCCUUAAGCAUGUAGUCUUGGACGCUUAAUUUCCUGGGGUUCUCUCACUCUUAACUUGCUAAUAAAACAGUAGCAAGCACACGUCAAAGAAGUAGAAGAGAAGCUAAGCAGAAG